AAGCCAUUCUCUGAGACUCUGCUCCCCAGAUCCUCCUGAAUGUUUGGACCAUGAACAGGGCUGGAGCCUCUGGGUUCCUGCUAGUUUUGUGAUGGUCAAACAGAGAAGCAAAAUUAGCCCAAAAUUCAAGACUGAAUACUGAAGUAAGGUUUGCUGAUUCAAGCAGAUGGUUUUCUAAACUGACUCCCAUGUAACUUCUCCCUCACUCCAAGUAACAGGCAUUUCCUUGACCUCAGCUUGUGUUCCAGCCCCUUCCAUGCCUGAAGGAAAAUCCAAGGACUUUCAGGAUCCAAAUAAAAGAAGUUUGGGGGGAUCUUCCCAACCUAGGGAUUGAACCCAGGCAAAAAAAAGAAGUCACUGUUUCUCACAAACAUAUCCUUGAACUUCUCCUUCUCACCACUCAACUAAAG
ensembl:lncRNA